UUCUCUCUCUAGAUUUGGCCAGCAAAGGUUCCCUCUUGAAAACUUGAAUUUCAACCAUGGAGAAUGAAAAAGAAUGCAUGGGAAAGGUAGAUCACAAGCUAAAAUAAGAAAACCUUACCUUUACUUGCUUGAUUCCUUGAAAUUCAACAAUUUCUCUUGGAUUUUUCCUUCCUAGGGUUUGUUCUUCUCUUUUUCUCUUUGUUCCCUUGCUUGGC
rnacentral:lncRNA from 1 species